UGUUUAAAGAGAAUUCUAAUGUGGUUAAGCCAGGUCUGUAACUGCCACCAUACACUGGCGCUUUUAACACACCACUGCCAAGCUCUCUUUGGCAUGCAAAGCUAAACCCUGUGCUCCCUUAUGCCAGCACCCAACCAGAACACCAUGGGCAGGCAGCCAAUACAGGCGUAACUUGGUAAGACUGAGAAAGUCAUCCUUGAGAGUGUUUCAUCUCAGAUGUGGGACCGGCUGGCUGUGUUUAAGCAGUGGUGGUAGGGAAGCACUCAUCACAUGUUCAAAGGCACCCCUUUCGGAAUAGCUUCACAGGAAAGGUACCAGAAAGUGGUUGCAGGUGAAGCCUGCAGGAAUCCCUAGCUGCAGUUACACCCUUGGAGUUGGAAUGUCUUUGCCAAAGAAAAAGCACAGCUUGACCUGAGGAGGAUCAGAUCCAGAACCCUGUAUUACUUUGGGAUGACAAUUCACCCUGCAAGCAUGCAGUGUCACAUACCUCUCACUCAGCCUUCAGGCUGUUUCCCUGACCCACCCCCAUCCGAAAACUAAAGCGGGGGGUGGGGGGGAAUUGGUCAUGUGUAGUUGUCACAGGCUGGAGAUACACCAUAUGUUGAACUUCUGCCUGCAGCUGUUUACUGGGGAUUGGAGCGGGAGGGAAGAGCUGAGCGAGUGGAAGUCCUAAUGCCCUCCCACUCCUGCCCUAAGAAGAUCAAUCAUUGCAGAGGCUGCAACCCUAAGCACACUUCCUAGAAAGAAGCACAGGAUCCCUGAGCACUGAGCACAGGAUCCCGCUGUGCGAUGCACACGGAGGAGACCUAGUAGAGUGGUGGUGGGCAAGGGCCCCGAUUUGGCGCAAAGAAAACGCAGAAUGGAGCUUCUCUCUGCCUUACCCACCUACCCGCAACACCCCCAACUUUGUCCUUCAGAACCGUCGGUCUGGGUUUCAUCAAGAGCCCCCACGCCAAAUCUCUCCGCUUUGGCGCCCCGCUUUUCCCGCACUGGGCCUUCCUCCUCCUCCCCAUAUGUGUGGCAGGCGAAGCCAGUCCCCUCCGAGCGACCCCCAUCCCGCACGACAAGGCGCCUGGCUGCGACUCCUCCGGUGCCGGAGACGCCGUGUCUCUCGCGAUUUAUUUCCUCCCCGUCGGCCUCCAGUCAAUGCAAGCAUUUCCAGAGCGGCGGCCCACAGGCAGCAAUCGCAAAUGAAAUCAAUAAAGCCGAGAAAGAACGAUGUCGGAAGUGAAAACAGCAGAGAAAAGGAAGAACCUAUCAGUCCUUGAGCCUGUGAAGUAGUUAUGAGGAGUGUCUUUGAGCCUGUGCAGAGUACUUUGCCCUCCAUACAUCCAAGGUCAAAGGAACGGUGUCAAGGUAGGUUUCAGCCCCAGCAAUUUUCAUUUUGGAAAUAAAAUAUUGAUCAUAUACUGGAUUUCAGGACACUUAAGGUCUAUGGAACCCAAAAGAGAUCUCACCUUGGACUGCAAAGCCAAGCGCAACCCUUUCACAUGAAAAUUCAUUUGUAGCUUUUUCUUUUCCUUGAAAUCCUGCUAAACAAAGGAUUCUGUGUUAUUUUAAAGUUUACUUGUAUUGUCAACAUUAUUUACGGCAACUCUAUACUUGUCUACUCAGAAGAAAGUUCCAUUGAGUUACCAGGACAAGUGGGAAUAGAAUUGCAGCCUUAGUCCCAAUAAAGUUAUGAUCCCCCUGGCUCUGCAUUUUCAGAUCUGAAAACAUUUAUUUGUUUAUGUUUGUUUGUUUUUUCUGGCAGCGAGAGAGUUCUCACUGAAAAGAAUAUUUGUGUGAGCAGAGGUACUUUUGAGAUGUUUGGGGACAGAGGUGCAUAGAAUUUGUGCUGGACCAUAACAUUAUUUAGGUGGGCGGGGGAGAGAGGGAAUGAUAGAUCGGGAUAUGAGAUUUGUGUUUGUAUUUCAAGGAGGAA